CCUCGGAUCAGGUAGGGAUACCCGCUGAACUUAAGCAUAUCAAUAAGCGGAGGAAAAGAANCCAACAGGGAUUACCUCAGUAACGGCGAGUGAAGCGGUAACAGCUCAAAUUNGAAAGCUACCAACAGGUCGCAUUGUAAUUUGUAGAAGAUGCUUUGGGUGUUGGCCUAGUCUAAGUUCCUUGGAACAGGACGUCAUAGAGGGUGAGAAUCCCGUAUGUGAUUAGUGCCAUCCCCCGUGUAAAGCUCUUUCGACGAGUCGAGUUGUUUGGGAAUGCAGCUCAAAAUGGUUGGUAAAUUUCAUCUAAAGCUAAAUAUUGGCCAGAGACCGAUAGCGCACAAGUAGAGUGAUCGAAAGAUGAAAAGCACUUUGGAAAGAGAGUUAAACAGUACGUGAAAUUGUUGAAAGGGAAGCGCUUGCAAUCAGACUUGCGGGCGGUUGAUCAUCCGAGGUUCUCCCCGGUGCACUCGAUCGUCCUCAGGCCAGCAUCGGUUUCUGUGGUGGGAUAAAGGCUGUGAGAAUGUGGCUCUUCGGAGUGUUAUAGCUCACGGUGCAAUGCCGCCUACGGGGACCGAGGACCGCGCUUCGGCUAGGAUGCUGGCGUAAUGGUUGUAAGCGACC
rnacentral:rRNA from 1 species